UACGUAGGCGGAUUAAUAAGUCAGUGGUGAAAACCUGCAGCUUAACUGUAGAACUGCCAUUGAUACUGUUAGUCUUGAGUACGGUCAAGGUAGGCGGAAUGUGUAAUGUAGCGGUGAAAUGCUUAGACAUUACACAGAACACCGAUUGCGAAGGCAGCUUACUGGACCAUUACUGACGCUGAGGCACGAAAGCGUGGGGAGCGAACAGGAUUAGAUACCCUGGUAGUCC
rnacentral:rRNA from 1 species